UUCAGCAUUUUUCAUUUGUGUCAUUUAUAGCUUUAAGAUAUUUUGUAUAUUUUUGUUUUAUUCAUUAUUUCGAAACCAUCAGGUUUCAAGGUUGGCGGUAUGUCGGAGUUUAUGUAUUAGAAUUAUAAUUCAAUUUUCAAUAGACGGUUGAGGCCAGCUAAAAAGGAACAAGAAAUCAUUAAUGUGUAAGUUCUGUGGUCUCAAUUCGACCUAACCGUUCGUUACCGUCACUCAAACUCUCUUUCACAUCCCUGAUUUCAUAGUAGUGUUGUAUAGACAGCACUCAGCUGACAUAUCAUAGAAAUACAGUCCACUUUUGGUUCAUAACCUAUUUCAUUUUCAUCGUUGUAUACUGUUAUUGUUCAAAUAUAAGUAUAAAAACCCAAGUGUUUUAUCAGAAUCUAAGGGUAUCCCAAGCCGUGGUAGAAAUAAGAACAAUCUUUUGUAUUCCACAAAGUUGGUGCUUUGAUAAGCGUACCCUUACCAUUUGGUCCUUCGAGUCGGAUUCACGCCAGUGAUAAACAAUCAAUUAGGGACCAGAAUCCAGAGAAAAUACACGAAGCAGCACGUGAAGAAUCAUUCAAUAUCAGAAGCAUUGAAGGAGCAUUCAGGAACGUGACGAAAUUGGCGACCACUUGAGUGAAAGAGCAACAAGAAGUCUAUAAGACCCACAAGAUCUCCAGGCACUCACCCCAGGUCAUUUCCUCAUCGGCGCAACUUUAACAGCCAUCCCAGAACCUUUCGGUUCUGGAAAUGGUUGAGGAAAUACAAGGUAACCGAUUGACCCAGUACCAACGAGCAACACAGGUGCUGCAACAAUUCUGGUCAAGAUGGUCGAUCGAAUACAUUUCCACACUUCAACAACGGGCAAAGUGGAAGACUGAGUGUAAAAACCUAUUGAAGCCAGGAACAUUGGUCAUUCUCAAGGAAGAUCACCUCCCCCCUUUGAAGUGGAAGUUAGGCAGAGUUCAGAAGUUGUUUCUUGGUGCAGAUGGCUCAUACAAGUAGUGUCAGUCAAGGUUCAAAACGGUGAAGUGAUGAGAACAAUUUAAAAAUUGUGCGUGCUUCCCAUUGACAGUAAUUAAAAUGUUCAGUAUUGUCAUCACAAGGUUUCAGCAUUUUUCAUUUGUGUCAUUUAUAGCUUUAAGAUAUUUUGUAUAUUUUUGUUUUAUUCAUUAUUUCGAAACCAUCAGGUUUCAAGGUUGGCGGUAUGUCGGAGUUUAUGUAUUAGAAUUAUAAUUUAAUUUUCAAUAGACGGUUGAGGCCAGCUAAAAAGGAACAAGAAAUCAUUAAUGUGUAAGUUCUGUGGUCUCAAUUCGACCUAACCGUUCGUUACCGUCACUCAAACUCUCUUUCACAUCCCUGAUUUCAUAGUAGUGUUGUAUAGACAGCACUCAGCUGACAUAUCAUAGAAAUACAGUCCACUUUUGGUUCAUAACCUAUUUCAUUUUCAUCGUUGUAUACUGUUAUUGUUCAAAUAUAAGUAUAAAAACCCAAGUGUUUUAUCAGAAUCUAAGGGUAUCCCAAGCCGUGGUAGAAAUAAGAACAAUCUUUUGUAUUCCACAAAGUUGGUGCUUUGAUAAGCGUACCCUUACCAGGCAUUGUACGAUAAGAUUUCUUGCACGCAAGUCUGUCUUUUUCCACGCACUCAAUAGGGAUGUAUCGCUUGGCUUUUCCUCGGAAAUUAUAUCGAGCACUUCGUUAUAUUCCAAUAACAAUUUCAUUCGAAAUUCCGAAUUCCCGUAGCCUGUGCCAUCGAAAGGCUUCACUUUGAUAAAGUUUUCCCGGUUUUCAGCCGACAUUUUAUCACCUUUUCUUGCGUUCCUGCUUCCCGCCAAUGUCUGUAUAUCCGUAUUCUGCCUUACCUACGCACAACAGUUUUUCAAUUUAAACACGCCGGUUUCACUCUUAGCAAACAGUAUUAACGAAAACCUGUAAUUUAGCAGAGUCAAUGAUACACUGUUGAGUUGUUUUAAUUAAUUAUAAUUAUCUGGAAAAGCACAAUUACACAUAUUCCUAUACAUGACAGUUGGCGUCGUACAAUCUUAGAACAUUAAUAAGAGGAAUGGCAAUCGCCUUGUAACUGAAGCAUUUGUUUUGAUGCCAACAUUCGUAGCUCCUUGUCUGACCGGCGUCUAUGGCAGUGGCGUAACAUAUUUUGAUUUAUUUCGAAAUAUUCAAUUGAUGCUCAAAAAUAGUUUAGAGUGUGAUUUAUUUAUGAAAAUUGUUUCGUAAUUAGAAAAGGUCAAUGUUUUUCUCAGUUUUAUGUUUUAGCCAUUAUGAAGUUAGGAAAAAAAGAUUUCUGAUAAAACAUUAAACAUAAAUACCGAUAAAAUCUUUUUCACUGUACGAAUUGCAAUUUAACACUCAUAUUAUUAUUUCACAUUUCUUAAGAGGUGAAGGGCAGUCGGAAUUCGCAGAAAAAUUUUUUUGCUAUUGCAUUUUCUCAUAUAAAAUAUUUUCUGAAAAUUUCUCGAGAAUCUGAUUCCACGAUUUAUUCAACAAUGAAUGGCAGGAUCGGCUGGUGGAUUUGAAUUGAAUUUAUUCAACUUUUUCAAAACAUAAUAAACUAGUGAAAACUAUUUGUCAUGAACAAUGAUUUACUGAAAAUUUGAGGUAAAUUGUCUUAAAGCCCCAUUUUGAUUAUUUUCAGAAAAAAAUAUUUGAUUAAGCACUAGAUUAACUACUGAAAUAAUAAAAGAAAAAUAAUAAGGGCAUUCCCUCA